CAUCAAAAACCAAGUCUCUAAGCAAUGGAUGUCUUGGCUCCUCACACGAUGAAGAACGUGGCAUAAUGUGUUAAGUAACCGGAGUUGCAAACAUCAUGACAGGUUAAUCUUUGAAUGCAAAUUGCGCUAAACUCGAUCUCGGUCGAGAAGCAUGGGUGUGACAGUACUACAUCUUUUAUAAUAAUUCUUAUUCUAAGCGAAUAAGUAAAUAAUAUAUAAGACAAACAACACGUAGUCUGCCAUACGCAGGAAGACCCGCUGAACUGAAGCAUCUCAUUAAGCGGAGGAAAAGAAACUAACUAGGAUUCCCUUAGUAAAGGCGAUCGAAAAGGGAACAGCCCAACGUCUUAAUCCCGCAAGGGAAAUGUAGUCGGUUCACCUAUUGCACUGGUCUAAGUCAGAUGGAAUGCUGCGCGAUUCAGAGUAAAAGCCUCGUAUGACCAACCGCAAGCUUACGAUGGACCGGGGAGAGUCGGAUACUUUGAGAGUAGUGUCUUAAGGGGGUGGUAUGUCCCAUCCAAGGCUAAAUAACGUGAGGAGACCGAUAGAUUACAAGUAGUGUGAACGAAAGAUGAAAAGAACUCUAAAACAGAGGUGAAAAGUUCCUGAACUUGCUUAGGGUUAAGGCUAUUUAUAGUACCCGUCUUGAACACGGAUUAGGGAGUUUAUCUGUAGUGCGAGUCUUUGCACGUUAACUGUAAAGGCGUAGAGAAAGCAACUGGCGUUUGCAUGGC
rnacentral:ncRNA from 1 species